CAGCCUGGGCGACAGAGCGAAAAGAAAAGGAAGAGACAAAACUAUCAUUAUUUGCAUAUGAAAAUGAUAAAUGUUAGACAGUCAAAGAAGCCUAAGAGAAUCAGCUAAGAUUUUAGUGGAAGCAAUAUGAGGAUUCAGUACGGUGGCUAGAAACAAAAUCAAGAGAGCAGCACACAAAAGUCAAAUACUUGUCAGAUGUACCACCAAUAACUAAUUAGAAAAUGGAAGUAAGUCCCAUUUACAAUGGCAAUACAAAUGUAUGAAGUAUUUAGGAAGAAAAAUACAAAGAUCUGUUAUGUAACAAAAGACGUGUAAGAUCUGUAUGAUGGAAACCCUAAAACUCUUCUGAAAGACAUUAACAAGAAAUGAAUAAAUGACAUGAAAUACCACGUUCCCAGAAUGUUGUACAGAUGUCAAUUCUCAAAUUAAUCUACAAAUUUAAGGUAAUCCUAUUCAAAUCCCAAGAUAGUUUUUGGUGGUAGCUAUUUUUAAGACAGGGUCUCGCUCUGUUGUCCAGGCUAGAGUGCGGUGGUAUGACCACAGCUCACUUCAUCCUCAACCUCCCAGGCUCAAACAAUCCUCCCACUUCAGCCUCUGAAGUCUCUCAUAUGGUGUCCAAGAAAUGGGGACAAAUCUCACAAAGGGACUAGGCUCAGGAGGGCUGGAAUAUUCAGGGAAGGUGUUUUUUUUGUUUUGUUUUGUUUUUGUUUUUGGAGGCAGAGUCUCGCUUUGUCACCAAAGCUCGAGUGCAGUGGCCCGAUCUUGGCUCACUGCAUGCUCUGCCUCCCAGGUUCACGCCAUUCUCCUGCCUCAGCCUCACGAGUAGCUGGGACUACAUGCGCCUGCCACCACGCACAGCUAAUUUUUUGUAUUUUUAGUAGAGACAGGGUUUCACUGUGUUAGCCAGGAUGGUCUCGAUCUCCUGACCUCAUGAUCCGCCGCCUCAGCCUCUGAAAGUGCUGGGAUUACAAGCGUGAGCCACCGCGCCUGGCCUAUUCAGGGAAGGUUUCAAGCAGAAAGAUGAACUUGAGUUGGCUUUGGAGAGAUUCAUGGGACUCCCACAGGCAGAGUGAAAUAAGGGCAUUUUAGAUGGACAAAUGCACAGACAAGAGCAGAAAUGCGGAUGGUGUGACUGGGGUAUGGUGAGGGGCUGAUCUGGCUGGAAUGGAGGGCUGCCACAAUAAUGGAAAUGGUAAAUGAGGCAAAUAAGGUUGGAUUGGGAGCAUGGCGUCAAGGUUGCCAGCUUAUUAAAUCACUCUUCCAAUAUGCUAGCAGUGGCCUCUUGGGAAAAGUAAUACAUCAUGUAAUCGAACAAAAGGCAAACAGAGGCAAGCUCCAGGAAUGGGCACUGUGAACAGGACUCGCCCCAGAGUAGCCAGAUGUAGGCUUUAGACAUGUUAAUGCAGGUUGAGCAUCUCUGAGCCGAGGGGGAAUGUCUCACAUGGUGUCCAAGAAAUGGUGACACAUCUCACAGAGGGCCGAGGCUCAGGAGGGCUGGAGUAUGAGACAUUCCCCCUCCCCUGUGAACUUAAAAAUGUGGCCAACAAUUUUUUUUUUAAAUGGCUACUCUGUAGUGCUUUAACUGGACCUAUUUAGACAAUGCCUUACACACUGGAAAAGGAUGAUACUGUGUGAAUCUAAUAAGUCUACAAGACAAUAGUUCUCUCUAUUGGCUGUCUCCUUCCUCUCCAGGGUGAUGACAACUUCGUGAGGGUGAUUAUACGUCUCUCAUCAUUUCAGCAACAAGGAAAUAAAUUAGUGGCAGAGUAAGGGGUGACUUGUGAACAAGAAAAAGAAAAGAAAUAGGAAGAAAUAAAAGAAAAUCAGCCUUUACAUUAACCCAAGAAUCAUCACUUUUGCAGAAAUUAUAAAAAUAAUAAUAAUUACAACCAACUGAAUCAGUAACCACGAGGGCGGAGUCCGGAACUGAGUUCUAACGCGCCCUCUCAGUGAUUGUGAUGCAGAUCUAUCUACAGCACUGCUGCAGUAACACGGUUCCCCACGAUGGCUCCUCAGCUGGGCAUUCAAAGCCCUAGAAGAUCUGGUUCCAAUGUCCUACUCUCCCUCCUUGUACUCUACAGAGCUAUCAGCUUCCCAGUUUGCGCAAUUCAUCAAGAAACAAUGUGGGGCCACUGGCACAAAUCAUGAGGCAUCUCCCGGAAGCUUAACUUCCUAUCCAUCCCAUCUCUUGGACAGACGAUGCCAGUUAAUUACUUUGAAUGUCCAGCCUCUUCCAGUGACUCUGGAGGCAGAGGUGGGCCCCCGUGCUGAGUGGCGGGAGGUUCUGCAUCAUUACCUGGCCCUGAGAGCUGAGCUGUAGCCUCCUGGAGGACUGGAGAAGUUCCCACCU